rnacentral:snoRNA from 1 species
AGAUAAUGAUGAGGACAGUCUAAGAGGAGAUCUUUGAAACAUUCCAUACAUCUAUAGAAUGGUUCAUUUGGUCUUUGGCAAAACUGGAGAAUGUCAUUCCUAAAUUU